rnacentral:misc_RNA from 1 species
CUGGGCCAUCAAUUGCAGCUG